UGCUGCAGUGAGAAGCGAGUGAGAAGCAGAGAGAGGCAGUGAGUGAGAGGCGCGAUUUUGGUUGGUCCCUUUGGAAGAUUCGUCUUUUAUGGACGCAAAGGCGGUGACUGAACCCGUUCAGUGCUGGAAAGACGUGUCACGCAACAGAGGAUGUAACUGGAUAACUGGACUCAUUGGAAUCAUCAUAAGGGGUU